GCGGAAGUGGCGGAACGGCAGACGCGCCAGCUUGAGGGGCUGGUGAGCCAAUGGCUCGUGGGGGUUCGAAUCCCCCCUUCCGCACCA
rnacentral:tRNA from 1 species